CCCCCACCGCUCAGAUCUGCGGUCUUCCGUGCACAAGGUAAUUGGGACUGGAUCUUAAGUCAACUUGCUGCCAGCCAGCCGGCUCGUUAAAAUACAACCGCAAAGAAAAACUCACGCUGACAGUAGUGACACCCGAGGGACCAUUCGAAGAAAAACAAAGUAUAUUUUUGCAGGAAGGGUUACGGUCUUAAGUGAUUGCAGGAAGAUGCAAC
rfam:Atelerix albiventris clone LB4-341B4, complete sequence.